rnacentral:rRNA from 1 species
UCCCAGUUCGGAUUGCAGGCUGAAACCCGCCUGUAUGAAGUUGGAAUCGCUAGUAAUCGCGGAUCAGCAUGCCGCGGUGAAUACGUUCCCGGGCCUUGUACACACCGCCCGUCACACCAUGAGAGUCGGGAACACCCGAAGUCCGUAGUCUAACCGAAAGGGGGCGCGGCCGAAGGUGGGUUCGAUAAUUGGGGUGAAGUCGUAACAAGGUAUC